UGUAGGAAUUCGGGGCCAAAAAGGGGCAAAAAACAAGCAUUUUUCUAGUUUCAGGACAAUAACUUUUGUGUAAGUGUAUGGAUCUUUAUGAAAUUGUACUACAAGGUUGCAUAUCACAAAGGGAAAGCUGGAAUUGAGUUUGGGGGUAAUUGCCCAAAAAGUUUAGGAAUAAGGGGCCAAAAAGGAGCCAAAAAUAAGCAUUUUUCUAGUUUCCAGACGAUAACUUGUGUUCAAGUUUAUGGAUCUCUCUGAAAUUGUACUACAAGGUUCCACAUCUCAAAGGGAAAGCUGGGUUUGAGUUUGGGGGUAAUUGCCCUAAACGUUUAGGAA